CUUUCCUUGAUGACGACUGGCGCACGGGUGAGUAACGCGUAUCCAACCUUCCCAUAACUACGGGAUAACCCGUUGAAAGACGGCCUAAUACCGUAUGAUAUCGUUUGCUGACAUCAAAUAACGAUUAAAGGUUUUAGCGGUUAUGGAUGGGGAUGCGUCUGAUUAGCUUGUUGGCGGGGUAACGGCCCACCAAGGCAACGAUCAGUAGGGGUUCUGAGAGGAAGGUCCCCCACAUUGGAACUGAGACACGGUCCAAACUCCUACGGGAGGCAGCAGAA
rnacentral:rRNA from 1 species